CCUACGGGAGGCAGCAGUAGGGAAUCUUCCACAAUGGGCGAAAGCCUGAUGUAGCAACGCCGCGUGGGUGAAGAAGGUCUUCGGAUCGUAAAACCCUGUUGUUAGAGAAGAAAGUGUGUGAGAGUAACUGUUCACGUUUCGACGGUAUCUAACCAGAAAGCCACGACUACCUACGUGCCAGCAGCCGCGGUAAUCCGUAGGUGGCAAGCGUUAUCCGGGUUUAUUGGGCGUAAAGGGAACGCAGGCGGUCUUUUAAGUCUGAUGUGAAAGCCUUCGGCUUAACCGGAGUAGUGCAUUGGAAACUGGGAGACUUGAGUGCAGAAGAGGAGAGUGGAACUCCAUGUGUAGCGGUGAAAUGCGUAGAUAUAUGGAAGAACACCAGUGGCGAAAGCGGCUCUCUGGUCUGUAACUGACGCUGAGGUUCGAAAGCGUGGGUAGCAAACAGGAUUAGAUACCCGGGUAGUC
rnacentral:rRNA from 1 species